rnacentral:rRNA from 1 species
UUUAAAGAGAGUUUGAUCCUGGCUCAGGACGAACGCUGGCGGCGUGCCUAAUACAUGCAAGUCGAACGAACGGAGGAAGAGCUUGCUCUUCCAAAGUUAGUGGCGGACGGGUGAGUAACACGUGGGCAACCUGCCUGUAAGUUGGGGAUAACUCCGGGAAACCGGGGCUAAUACCGAAUGAUAAAGUGUGGCGCAUGCCAUGCUUUUGAAAGAUGGUUUCGGCUAUCGCUUACAGAUGGGCCCGCGGUGCAUUAGCUAGUUGGUAGGGUAAUGGCCUACCAAGGCAACGAUGCAUAGCCGACCUGAGAGGGUGAUCGGCCACACUGGGACUGAGACACGGCCCAGACUCCUACGGGAGGCAGCAGUAGGGAAUCUUCCGCAAUGGACGAAAGUCUGACGGAGCAAC